rnacentral:rRNA from 1 species
AUUGAACGCUGGCGGCAGGCCUAACACAUGCAAGUCGAGCGGCAGCGGGAAAGUAGCUUGCUACUUUUGCCGGCGAGCGGCGGACGGGUGAGUAAUGCCUGGGGAUCUGCCCAGUCGAGGGGAUAACAGUUGGAAACGACUGCUAAUACCGCAUACGCCUACGGGGAAAGCAGGGGACCUUCGGGCCUUGCGCGAUUGGAUGAACCCAGGUGGGAUUAGCUAGUUGGUGAGGUAAUGGCUCACCAAGGCGACGAUCCCUAGCUGGUCUGAGAGGAUGAUCAGCCACACUGGAACUGAGACACGGUCCAGACUCCUACGGGAGGCAGCAGUGGGGAAUAUUGCACAAUGGGGGAAACCCUGGAUGCAGCCAUGCCGCGUGUGUGAAGAAGGCCUUGGUGUAAGCACUUCUAGCGA